GAUGAACGCUGGCGGCGUGCCUAAUACGUGCAAGUCGAGCGAACAGAUGAGGAGCUUGCUCCUCUGACGUUAGCGGCGGACGGGUGAGUAACACGUGGAUAACCUACCUAUAAGACUGGGAUAACUUCGGGAAACCGGAGCUAAUACCGGAUAAUAUAUUGAACCGCAUGGUUCAAUAGUGGAAGACGGUUUUGCUGUCACUUAUAGAUGGAUCCGCGCCGCAUUAGCUAGUUGGUAAGGUAACGGCUUACCAAGGCAACGAUGCGUAGCCGACCUGAGAGGGUGAUCGGCCACACUGGAACUGAGACACGGUCCAGACUCCUACGGGAGGCAGCAGUAGGGAAUCUUCCGCAAUGGGCGAAAGCCUGACGGAGCAACGCCGCGUGAGUGAUGAAGGUCUUCGGAUCGUAAAACUCUGUUAUUAGGGAAGAACAAAUGUGUAAGUAACUAUGCACGUCUUGACGGUACCUAAUCAGAAAGCCACGGCUAACUACGUG
rnacentral:rRNA from 1 species